CGAGAAAGCCCGCAAGGGUGAGUACAGCGGCGCACGGGUGCGUAACACGUGGGUAAUCUACCUCGAAGUCCGGAAUAACUCCCCGAAAGGGGUGCUAAUGCCGGAUGAGACCACGGGAGCCGAGGCUCCCGAGGGAAAAGAUGGCCUCUGCAUGCAAGCUAUCGCUUCGAGAUGAGCCCGCGGCCCAUCAGCUCGUUGGCGGGGUAACGGCCCACCAAGGCUACGACGGGUAGCUGGUCUGAGAGGACGAUCAGCCACACUGGAACUGAGACACGGUCCAGACUCCUACGGGAGGCAGCAGUGGGGAAUCUUGCGCAAUGGGCGAAAGCCUGACGCAGCAACGCCGCGUGUGUGAUGAAGGUCUUCGGAUCGUAAAGCACUGUCGCGAGGGACG
rnacentral:rRNA from 1 species